ACUAAAUUGCUGAGGCUGGCUUAGAACCUGUGAUCCUCCUGUGUCAGCCUCCUGAGCCGCUGGAAUUAUAGGUAUGCACCACUGUGCUCACCUGGUUUUUAACCAGCUGAACAAAAUAGAAAAAGUCACUUAAAGUCCUUACCCCCAUUAACAUCAAUCAGUUGCUCUUUACUCUUUGGGCAGAGUCAUUCAGCUAGUCAGUAGUCCAUCUGACUACGUAAGUAUAAAGCAUAUUGUUUAGAUUUGGUUGACUACCGAAAUGGAAAUACAGUAUAAUUACAGCAUAGCAUUAUACUACCUUCAGUUAUCAAAUGAGCUAUUCCUUUAUGCUACUGCCUAUAUAUUGAAAGUCCUAACCUGGCUAACUCUCACUAAUCUUUCAAAACUCCUAAUCCCAAUUUAGAUAUUGCCUCUUCUGGGAAGGCUCUCCUCACCCACACCCACUCCCCAUCUUGUAACCUUCUAUAGCAUUGUCGUAUUGUAUUAUACUGAACUCCUUGAAACCAGAAGUGUCAUCGUUCGUUCAUCUUCCCAGUGUGCUUAGCUCACUGUGGGACACAUAAAAGACACUUAAAUAUUUCUUUCUUGAUAGGAUAAAGAAGUGAGUGAUGAAAUAACAAUUUCCUUCUGAUGUUAAAAAAUAAAGGUUAAGAAUGAUUUGUUCUUAUAUAUUGGUUCCUUGUGAUCACCUCUUCUGUUUAUUAUUAUUCAUUAAUUUGAACUGUAUAUUCUCUUGGAAAUGAAAAUCAGCAGGCUACAAUUUGGAGAAGCCAUCUUCUGUAUUUUUGAAAAGUCAUGGAAAAUGUGCCCCCAUCUCCAGUUCUCUAGCAGCUGGGCAUUUGUUUUUUAACAUUGCAGAUUGUGCUUUGUGAGUUCUAGGUUUAGAUAUUUGGAUUCAUUUCAGAGCAGCUUCAUGAUAUGGUAGAAUGAUAACCACAUGGGGAACUGAAAAGACGAUUCUAGUCUAGACAGAGACACUGAUUUUCUGGGUGACCUGCAGGCACUUAUCUUUUCCAAGGUUUCAAUUUCUCAUCUGUAAAGUGAAAACUUUAGAUUCAGUAAUACCCAAGGUCUCUUUCCAGAAUUCUCUCAAAUUUUAGUGAGCUGUCUUAGAAUACUGUGACCUGAUCUUAGCUUUCAAAGAACUAAAAAACUGGAUUUCUGUAACUGUUGGCAUUCAAAGUAAGAAGUUGCCUAUCUUACCCUCUGAUUUGCUGAGGCUCUGCCAAAAUAUUUUUUGUAGGUUGAUGCUGCCACAAAAACAACCCUCAUUCCAAGUUUUUCUUGACACUGACCCCAUAUUCAUUUGUGUGUAACUUCCAUGGAUUGAUUCUGGUUUUGCCCUUGGUAUGGAAUUCCUCUUUUCUGCAUAACAGAUUUCAAGAUAUUUGAAGAUAGCAAUAAUACACUAGCCAUAAGUCUCUUACUCUUCGGGUUAAAAAUUCUAGUUUCUUUUACGGUUUCUCAUAUGACAAAGUUUUCCUUUAUUCCUGAUGAAGUCUGUAUGUAUUUUUGCCUCUAAGGGACUUUGCACAUGCCAUUCCUCUGAUGGCAAAACUCUUGAAGUCUGUAUCUACAUACUGAAUCAUUCAUUUGUCAAGGCCUAAUUUGAACCAUUUCUUCUUCCAUUCAAAUGAAUUGUUUUAUCCUUUUGUUUCAGAAGUGCUUCCCUAUGAUUUACACACAUUUUGUUCUAAUGGUUUUUGUACUGAAUAAUAUUUUCUCAUACCUGUGUGCUCCAUAAUAGCAAAGACCUUAACUGACUUGUUCAUGGUGUCUAGAACACAAAAGGUAUGUGUCAGUAAAUGAAUAAAUGAAUGAGUCUGUUUUCUAACUUGUGAUAUGGAGCUGGAUUUAAUGAAGAAUAAGUGAAUACAUGAAUGCACAAAAUGAAUGAAGUACUGUUUUAAGAUAUGUCAGGCUCCUUUGAAUCCUUCCUCUUAAAAAUUUUGAACCAAACAUAAAACUACAGAUGUGAUAUAAUCUGGACAGGUAUAGCAGUCUUAACAAUUUCUUGAAGUUAGUUUCUUUAAUUUCAGAUUCACGUUCACAUUAACAGAGAAAAUAGAAACUAAAAUAGGGCCUGAGUAAUUCUAUUUCCUUUCUGCACUCAUCGUGAAACUCCCUAGCAGUGGAUCUGUGCCUUCUCCACACUCUUACCUCAACUUUUUCCAUAUUCUAGAGUUAAUUCUGUGCUUUCUGGCACUAAGCUUGCUGAGAAAUGCUUGUUUUUGUCUUUUAGUUUUGUGCUUCCUGCUGUCUUUUAUUCUUGUCUACUUAAAAUAUGCUUCCCUCUUUUGUCUUUAAGUUACCACACUUGUAGCAUGGUCACUUCAUUUCAAGAUCCUGCUAAAAUUUGUGAAACAUAUUUUCUUAACAUAAAGAAGUAAGUUAUUGGGCUGGAGAUAUAGCUCAGUUGGUAGAGUGCUUGCCUCACAUACACAGGGCCCUGGGUUCAAUCCCCAGCACUGCCAAAAAAAAAAAAAAAAGUUAAUUAUCUCUAAAACUUGAAGAAAAGUAAUCAUUUGGAAACUCACUGUUAUGGUUUAAAGCGAUACAAGUUUCCUUAAAAUUAAAAAUUUAGUUUUAAAGUAGUUCUCAGUAUAGAUUAAAUGCAGUUGCAUAAAUUACAUAGACUGCCCACAAUUCCAAUUUAAUGACCAUACCUUCCCUAUCAUCUCAUCUCUUAGCAAGCGUUUGUAGAUACAAGUGAUGGUUAUUGAAUAAAUCAAGACCCAGGUGAAACAGAAAUGCAGAGUAUGGAUUUGUGUUGGGAGUGAUGGAGAAAGCAAAGGGAAGUGACACCCACUAUUGCUAUUAAGAGCUACUAGUUGCCUAGCCUGUUUGUUUCAUUGGGAAAAGUCAUGAAGAGAAUUCAGCAGAGUUAAAGGAAAACAAGCAAAUAGUUCAGCCUCCUUAUAUCUGUAUGUAGAUGACUGGAAAGACAACAAUACAGGAAAUACUUCAGAAGAAUAAACAAACACUCAUUGUGUUACUUUACCAGAAAAUUGUGUAUUCUCCACAAGCCAAGUGGAAAGGAUGACAACUAGGAAGAGGAAACCACAGAAUGGCCUUCUACUGCUUACCAUGUGAAUUUAGAAAAUUACUUGAUUGCUUAAAAAAAUAGAAAUGGUCAAGAAAAAUGUCAACAAAAUCUGUAAAUAAGAGAUCAGCAGAAUUAAUAACAUAAUCAGUUACUACUUUUAAAUAUACAACUCCACUCAUUGAUGAGAGAAUGGCCUGUCCCCUAUUUUUAUGAGAAAAAAAAAAUAGGGGAAUUUGUGCACUACUUUGUGAGGUUGGUCUGACCAUUCCAAAAAUCAAACUGAGAAGUCUGACUCACUAGAAGCUAGAAAAUUUGCCUGUUGUGAGAGUUCACUGUGCUCUUUUCAUUUCAUAACCCACACUUAUUAGCAGUCAUAAGAACUCUGGAUUGGAAGCCAGAUGAUUUGCCUGGAUGACGUGCAGUGUUGUCAAAAGUCUCUAAUAACAGAAGCACAGGAAACCACUUUAUGGAAUCUAAAGUGAUAUUCAAUAAUUUCAAAUGGCCCUAACAACAUCUACACUACAAUAAUUAAGUAUGUUAAAUACAUGUAGCUAAUUAUGAAUUCAUAGUGUUACACAAUUAUUAUUAGGCAUGAUUAGAAAAUAGUCCAGUGAGUGAAUUACCUUGAAAUUUUCUGUGACUGGUUAAUAUAUUACUGACCACUUAAUAUUUAAAGACGUGGUAGUUUAACAUCUAUUUUGUAAAUACAGAGACAACUUUUUGAUGUACUUGGACUAAUUUCCAAAAAAGACAUUUUAGCUGAUGUUAGAGGGAAACUUGUAAUUAAUAAAGGAAUUUGCAUUUAGGUCAUUAAUUUUUGCUCAAUAUCUGGAAGUUCAGAGUUUAUAAUUGUAAUAUCCAGAGUCACCCUAAACAUCUAGUUUCAAAAAAAGAUGUCUUGAUUUUUCUGAAUUUCUAGGAAAUUUAGAUAACAGAAUCUAUGAUUCUUAAAUCCACUUGACUUGUAACUGAUAGAACUGGGCUAUAUUGCAAGAUCACAUUGGAUAUAUUUUCCCAUUAGGCCAGAUUAGUUUAAUCUGUUUUAGAUUAUUAAAUUAAGAAUUUUUUUUUUGUAGUUGUAGAUGGACAGCUUGCCUUUCUUUUAAGGUUGAACCCAAUACCUCACACAUGCUAGGCAAGUUCUCUGUCACUGAGCCAUAGCCACAAAAUUGUUAAGUGGCUUUCUUGUAUUUUGCCUUCCACAUUUCUAUGCUCCACAUUAAUUGAAUUCUCAUUCUCUUAUAUUGAGGUAUAUCUAUAUACUUUGAUAUUAAUGCCAAUAAUUUAAAAAUGAUUAUAUAAGGAAAAUAUAAUAUCAAGUUUGUAUUGAACAUCAAUGAGAAUUUACUGAUUAUAACUUUUAAAAUUCACAUUUUAACUGAUUGAAUAUUCAUUCAUGGAAAAUAAAGGAUAUUUUCCUAAAGCAAACUUCUCAGGUACUUAAAAACAGGAAAUAGUGAAAAUAAACAAAUGACACACUGGUUUCUCAGUCACAGCAAUAUUUUUCUGGUACCUGCAUCUUUGCCAGAGAAAAGUACCCUAGAGUGGCAGCCAAGAAGAAACUCCUAAAAUAUAGGGUAAUUUCAUAGAGUUUGGAAUCCUAAGAAAUUCUGCUCAGAUUCCAAGAAUGAGAAAAUCUGGGUUUCUAUAGAGAAAAAAAACAAAACAAAAACAAACAAACAAACAAAAAAACCAGGAAACAGUACCAGGCCUAGAGAAUGGAUAGGAAAUUGGAAUAUUUCAUAUCCAAACCAUAAUAGGAGGCAACAUGAUGAAUACUUAGCAGUUACUCAAAAGAAUCACAUGAACCUGGAACAACCAAGAGCAAACUUGAGAAGAACAUCAUGCCAGAAGUCUAUCUCUUCAAGACUGUUAUGUAAUAAUCUCUGAAUGAAUUUAUAUUAAAAAGAUCAAAUAAAUUCA